rnacentral:rRNA from 1 species
CCUACGGGUGGCUGCAGUGAGGAAUAUUGGUCAAUGGGAGGAAUCCUGAACCAGCCAUGCAGCGUGCAGGACGACGGCUCUACGAGUUGUAAACUGCUUUUGUACCGGGGUAAAAUGCUCUACGAGUAGGGUUUUGAAAGUACGGUACGAAUAAGGAUAGGCUAACUCCGUGCCAGCAGCCGCGGUAAUACGGAGGAUCCGAGCGAUAUCCGGAUUCAUUGGGUUUAAAGGGUGCGUAGGUUGUUUUGUAAGUUAGCGGGGAAAUACCGAGGCUUAACAUCGGGGCUGCCGCUAAUACUAGAGAACUAGAGAUCGAAUGAGGCAGGCGGAAUGUGUAGUGAAGCGGUGAAAUGCGUAGAUAUU